rnacentral:rRNA from 1 species
CACAUGCAAGUCGAGCGGAUGAAGAGAGCUUGCUCUCUGAUUCAGCGGCGGACGGGUGAGUAAUGCCUAGGAAUCUGCCUGGUAGUGGGGGACAACGUUUCGAAAGGAACGCUAAUACCGCAUACGUCCUACGGGAGAAAGCAGGGGACCUUCGGGCCUUGCGCUAUCAGAUGAGCCUAGGUCGGAUUAGCUAGUUGGUGAGGUAAUGGCUCACCAAGGCGACGAUCCGUAACUGGUCUGAGAGGAUGAUCAGUCACACUGGAACUGAGACACGGUCCAGACUCCUACGGGAGGCAGCAGUGGGGAAUAUUGGACAAUGGGCGAAAGCCUGAUCCAGCCAUGCCGCGUGUGUGAAGAAGGUCUUCGGAUUGUAAAGCACUUUAAGUUGGGAGGAAGGGCAGUAAGCGAAUACCUUGCUGUUUUGACGUUACCGACAGAAUAAGCACCGGCUAACUCUGUGCCAGCAGCCGCGGUAAUACAGAGGGUGCAAGCGUUAAUCGGAAUUACUGGGCGUAAAGCGCGCGUAGGUGGUUUGUUAAGUUGGAUGUGAAAGCCCCGGGCUCAACCUGGGAACUGCAUUCAAAACUGACAAGCUAGAGUAUGGUAGA